CCUGGGGUUGAAACCCCAGGCUAUUAUCUGUCGUCCCUAAAGGGACU
rfam:Candidatus Magnetoglobus multicellularis str. Araruama Cont1896, whole genome shotgun sequence.